AUGGUGGUAUUGUCUGAAUAUAGAAGAGAAGGAUUGGAUUUUAUUAUGAAAGCCAUCAACCAACCAACAUAUUUGAAGGACCUUACAGGUGCUUCUAAUAAUGUGAUUAAGCUGGACACUUGUUUGACAUUGCCUGUCAGCUUCCCUGUAAAUUCUGGGAAGUUGUCUAGUGUUCGAUGUCUAAUUUUAGGUGCUGGAACUCUUGGGUGUGAUGUAGCUCGCAUUCUUAUGGAUUAUGGUGUUCGGAAGCUGACAGUGGUUGACAGCGGUAGUGUUGGUGUGUUGGCAAGGCAAUCACUUUACACAUUUGGUGACCGUGAUGUCCCGAAAGCAACAGCAAUAUGCACGCAUCUAAAAGAGAGAUAA
rnacentral:rRNA from 1 species